UAGGGAAUCUUCGGCAAUGGACGGAAGUCUGACCGAGCAACGCCGCGUGAGUGAAGAAGGUUUUCGGAUCGUAAAGCUCUUUUGUUAGAGAAGAACGUUGGUAGGAGUGGAAAAUCUACCAAGUGACGGUAACUAACCAGAAAGGGACGGCUAACUACGUGCCAGCAGCCGCGGUAAUACGUAGGUCCCGAGCGUUGUCCGGAUUUAUUGGGCGUAAAGCGAGCGCAGGCGGUUCUUUAAGUGUGAAGUUAAAGGCAGUGGCUUAACCACUGUACGCUUUGGAAACUGGAGGACUUGAGUGCAGAAGGGGAGAGUGGAAUUCCAUGUGUAGCGGUGAAAUGCGUAGAUAUAUGGAAGAACACCGGUGGCGAAAGCGGCUCUCUGGUCUGUAACUGACGCUGAGGCUCGAAAGCGUGGGGAGCAAACAGG
rnacentral:rRNA from 1 species